UACGUAGGGGGCUAGCGUUAUCCGGAAUUGCUGGGCGUAAAGGGUGCGUAGGUGGUUUCUUAAGUCAGAGGUGAAAGGCUACGGCUCAACCGUAGUAAGCCUUUGAAACUGGGAAACUUGAGUGCAGGAGAGGAGAGUGGAAUUCCUAGUGUAGCGGUGAAAUGCGUAGAUAUUAGGAGGAAUACCAGUUGCGAAGGCGACUUACUGGGCUGUAACUGACGCUGAGGUGCGAAAGCGUGGGGAGCAAACAGGAUUAGAUACCCGUGUAGUCCCUGAGCGGG
rnacentral:rRNA from 1 species